AGAGUUUGAUCCUGGCUCAGAACGAACGCUGGCGGCAUGCCUAACACAUGCAAGUCGAACGGGAAGCCACCUUCGGGUGGUGGAGAGUGGCGCACGGGUGAGUAACGCGUGGGAAUCUGCCCUGGAGUGGGGGACAACUGCUGGAAACGGCAGCUAAUACCGCAUACGCCCUUAGGGGGAAAGCUUUAUGCGCUCCAGGAUGAGCCCGCGUCGGAUUAGCUAGUUGGAGGGGUAACGGCCCACCAAGGCAACGAUCCGUAGCUGGUCUGAGAGGAUGAUCAGCCACACUGGGACUGAGAUACGGCCCAGACUCCUACGGGAGGCAGCAGUGGGGAAUAUUGGACAAUGGGGGAAACCCUGAUCCAGCGACGCCGCGUGGGUGAAGAAGGCCUGCGGGUUGUAAAGCCCUUUCGGUGGGGAAGAAAAGCGCUGACCUAAUACGUCGGCGUCUUGACGUAACCCACAAAAGAAGCACCGGCUAACUCUGUGCCAGCAGCCGCGGUAAUACAGAGGGUGCGAGCGUUAAUCGGAAUUACUGGGCGUAAAGCGCGCGUAGGCGGGUCGGCCAGUCUCGUGUGUAAUCUCCCGGCUUAACCGGGAAACUGCACGGGAUACUACCGGUCUUGAGUGCGAGAGAGGAUGGCGGAAUUCCUGGUGUAGCGGUGAAAUGCGUAGAUAUCAGGAGGAACACCGGUGGCGAAGGCGGCCAUCUGGCUCGACACUGACGCUGAGACGCGAAGGCCGGGGGAGCAAACAGGAUUAGAUACCCUGGUAGUCCCGGCAGUAAACGUUGGACACUAGGUGUGGGGGGUCGACCCCUUCCGUGCCGCAGCUAACGCAUUAAGUGUCCCGCCUGGGGAGUACGGCCGCAAGGUUGAAACUCAAAGGAAUUGACGG
rnacentral:rRNA from 1 species